rnacentral:lncRNA from 1 species
UCUGAAGACAUUGUGGCUGAGUAGUUUGUGCUGCCCUCACUCUGGUCCUGUAGAAACACAAGGAAUUUAUGACUGAGUAACCUUUUCUGAUGUAAGCCAACAUAACAGAGACAGCCCUGCACCUGAAAGCUCUGCCAUUACGGGGAGCAUUUCAGAAUAUGGACAAAUCUGAAGAUGGACAGUGGGUUAUAAUAAUGCUUUGUUCUUAGGUAAUACACACUGGCAUUCAGAAGUAAAUGGGAUGCUAUCUGCAACUACUGUCAGCACUUACGAUGUAUGUAUGGAUGUGAAACAAGAAGGCAAAAGUGUUGACAGUCUGGCUAAAAGGGAUACAGAAGUUCUUCACUAGGCUUAUCUUUUUUCUGCAUGUUUGAACUUAUACAUAAAUAAAAGGCUACCAAAGACAUAAAAGAAAGCUACAUUUUUUAAAAAAAAGAUAAAAGCUUCAGGAGCUCUCAGCUUCGUAAGCAAUGCAAAGCUUCCAUUUUACUAGUUUUCCUGUGUGGGCUGCCAGAUGAAAGGAAUGAGAACAGAGUAUUGACAAGAAUUUAGUUAAGCCAGGCUGUGCCUAACAGCUCCACUGUAGAAUAGAACAACUCAACAAUCCUGAGUACCUUCAAAUAAGUCACCUAGCAAACUGUCCCAGGUGUGUGGAAUAAUAAACUAGCUGAUUAAUUCCCACGCCUACUUCAAGGCUGAGCUUUCAUCAGCAAGAAAAGUACAAUCCCAUAACAUGAUAGCAUCAUCCUCCAUCCCUGGAGACUAUUCUACUCUAGCAGUAUAUAAAGGGGGCGCCCAUGGAGAACUUUCUAGAUGAGCAGUGUGACACAAUAGCACCAACUAAGAAAGGCACUCAUAAAGACAAAAAUUCCAACUCUGGAGCCAUAUCUAGCCAAACUGGGCCAAGGAAAAGAAGAAAUUUUCUACCUCAAUCAGCACUUGUUUACCGAGCAUUUUCCACAAGGGAGACCAUUAGGUGUAAGAACAGCCCAUAAGGUAGGAAUGUAAGUAGCUCAGGGUAAAGUGCUUGCCUGACGUGUGAGACCCUGGGUUCAAAUGUCCAGCACUGUAGAAAACACCCUUGAAAGCCCGGGCAGUGAUGGCACCCACUUUUAAUCCCAGCAAUUGGAAGGCAGAAGCAGAUGGAGCUCUGAUUUUGAGGCCAGCCUGGUCUACAGAGCAAGUUCCAGGACAGUAAAGACUACACAGAGAAACCAUGUCUAAAUUUGUGAUAAUCUUAAUGCCCCAGCCUCCCGAGUACUGGAUUACAGACAUGUGCCAAUAAACCAGGUCUUCUUCUUGUAUUCUGAUUGAGGUUUAAUGAAAUAUGAUAGUGAAAUAAAAAAAAAAAUUACAUAGU